ACUGGACUUGAUCAGUACAAGAAAGGUACAUCAACUGAAAUAUCAAGUCUCAGAGACAUUCAACUCAUCACUUUACUCAACUGCAAGUGGAUCACAUACUAUAUUUUUCAUAAGGUAUUACUUCUUUCAUGAGCAUGUCUAUCGUAUUUCUUGAAUGAAUUCAUGAGUAUUAAAUUGUCUAUACAUAGGACUUGUGAAUUUAUUUAAAAUCCAGUACCUCGUGCUUUUUGCUAUUUUAUAUGAUUGCC
rnacentral:lncRNA from 1 species